UACGUAGGUGGCGAGCGUUGUCCGGAUUUACUGGGCGUAAAGCGUCCGCAGGCGGUCUGUUAAGUUGGGGUGAAAGGUUGGGGCCCAACCCACACGGCCCGUACUACUGCAGACUGGAGUCUCGGAGAGGAGAACGGAACUAGCACGUGUAGCGGUGAAAUGCGUUGAGAUGUGCAGGAACACCAGUGGCGAAAGCGGUUCUCUAGACGAGUACUGACGCUGAGGGACGAAAGCCAGGGGAGCGAAC
rnacentral:rRNA from 1 species